rnacentral:rRNA from 1 species
GAUCAUGGCUCAGGAUGAACGCUAGCGGCAGGCCUAACACAUGCAAGUCGAGGGGUAUAGUUCUUCGGAACUAGAGACCGGCGCACGGGUGCGUAACGCGUAUGCAACCUACCUCGUACAGGGGGAUAACCCGGAGAAAUUCGGACUAAUAUCCCAUAAUAAUAUUGAAAGGCAUCUUUUAAUAUUUAAAGCUCAGGCGGUACGGGAUGGGCAUGCGGAACAUUAGCUAGUUGGUAGGGUAACGGCCUACCAAGGCUGCGAUGUGUAGGGGACCUGAGAGGGUUAUCCCCCACACUGGUACUGAGACACGGACCAGACUCCUACGGGAGGCAGCAGUGAGGAAUAUUGGUCAAUGGGCGCAAGCCUGAACCAGCCAUCCCGCGUGAAGGAAGAAGGCGCUAUGCGUCGUAAACUUCUUUUCCAGGGGGAGAAUUUUCCGGUCGUGACCGGAAUUGACGGUACUCUGGGAAUAAGCAUCGGCUAACUCCGUG